UCGGCGGAUCUCGGCUAAGGUCCGCCCCGUCACGGCGUGGGGAACUCCGGUGAGAGACCGGGGCUGACGCGCAGCGGUAUGGGUGACGAGCGGCUCUCAGCGCCACUGGACCUCGGUCCGGGAAGGCGGGCCGCGAGGACGAUCCCGAGCCCGAACAUCCGGCCGUGGCCCGUACAUCCAC
rnacentral:ncRNA from 1 species